GAUGAAGAACGUAGUGAAAUGCGAUACGUAAUGUGAAUUGCAGAAUUCAGUGAAUCAUCGAGUCUUUGAACGCACAUUGCGCCCCCUGGUAUUCCGGGGGGCAUGCCUGUCCGAGCGUCAUUGCUGCCCUCAAGCACGGCUUGUGUGUUGGGCCCCGUCCUCCGAUUCCGGGGGACGGGCCCGAAAGGCAGCGGCGGCACCGCGUCCGGUCCUCGAGCGUAUGGGGCUUUGUCACCCGCUCUGUAGGCCCGGCCGGCGCUUGCCGAUCAACCCAAAUUUUUAUCCAGGUUGACCUCGGAUCAGGUAGGGAUACCCGCUGAACUUAAGCAUAUCAAUAAGCGGAGGA
rnacentral:misc_RNA from 1 species